UGCCUGCCACUGGGGAAGGAUCUCUGGUUGGAGAUCCUUUCCUGGUGGAGUUUUCCCUGUGAGAGUAUAUCUUCAGAGACUGGGUUUCUUGACAGACGGAGGCUUUCAUCACCAUCUGUCUCCUCCUGGCUGAAUUCUAGGCCAUCUUUGGCACAGCAGGAACAGUCGUAAAGUCAGGAAUUAGAUUAGGAAUGCUGGCUCAUAAUCUGCAUGCUUAGAUUCAGGAUGCAAGUAUUCCUGGGCAGGGACAUCCUCUGGGAACAAGGUUCUCAGCAGCAUAUGUACAUCAGGGAGGAUGAUUCAACCCGCGUAACUUUGAAGAUUACCUAGGUUACGGACGAAGGCAAAGAAAUAAGUAAUGAAGAAAAAUUGGCAGUGCUGCUAUCUUCACAGGGGAGAGAUAAAUCAUAACAUAGUCCAUUUCUCUCCAUUAAGAAGGAAGUGCUUAAACGCAGCCUUCUGCACUGCUGGCACAUGAACUGGGUGAGAUACCUCUCACCUACUCGUGGAACCGGUGGGUAUUGUACUCAAUCCUGACAGCAGAUCUGAUCCAGUGUCGUUAAAUAACUCUCAGAUUUGUAAGUACAAGAUGCCCAGCUAUGACUCCUAAGUUUUCCCAGUUUUAUCACCUUGUCUUCCUUUUUUAAAGCAUUUUCAGUUAGAAGUUGCUGCAUUAUCACGCAGAUAUUUCUCAAACAGCAGGGAAAGAAGGCAGGCAGGCAUGGAGUAGAUUGAAUAUUCUGUCAUUUGGGAAGAACCUUUGUUUUAAUUAUCUCAGUUUUAAAUGGUUAAUUUACUUGCAUUGAUGUAUUUGCUGAAUCUUCUGUUUGAGCUGUUAAAGUAAGACAGCAUGGACAGGCAGUGAAACUUCUUUAGCAAUGAACGCUGAGCCAUGAUUACACUUCAGAUCACAGAUUUUCAGUGUAAAUUUCCUAUCUAAUGAUCAGAAAAAGAUGGUUUCAUACAAAAAAUUUACCAACAGUUUUGCGAGGAAGCGCUCUCCCCAUCAUAAAAGCUCUUGUAUGGUUUUAAAGAUUAGUAGAGCUUUUUAGUAGCCCAAAAGAGUUUGUUAUAAGAUUAGGAACUGUUUAUCUCUGAAGGUGCAUUUAAACCCUGGAUCCAAAUGAUGGCAAAGUUGAAGGGCCUGGAGUUGUGCAUAAACUCAAACUCUUCAAUUUCCUCUUACUAUUUAACACUUAUAACCUCUAUCUUUUGGGACUGCAGUGUGGUGCACAAUCACCACAGCAGCUCUUUGAGUGCAGCCUUUCACAUAGGAAGUGAUUCAUUUAGCAAAAUUACAUUACUUUGAAAUUCAUUUGGUCCUUUGCAUUUAAUUUUUUUAAUUUUGCUCUGCAAUUAGCUUUUACUAAUGCAAGACAUUCUAUUUGUAACAUUUCUUGAGAAUCACACUAGACAUGAUUUGAAAUGAAACUAAAUCUCUUGAACUUUUCCUUACAUAAAAUUGAAAUGCCAACAGGGCACCAACUGCUGUGAAAAUUAAUGAAUGAGCUACACCAGCCUGCCUUUCAUUUCGUCUGAAUGACUUCACACUUAAAGAGCAUAUGUGACAAACUAAGUCUUUUCCAACCAUGCAGAUGAUGCUGAAGUGAGAGUUUUGCUGCCCAUGGGCAGAUUGAGAGUCCUGAUUUCUCUGAAAGAAUGUUAUAGGAUACAGCUUACAGUGCAGUAGCUACCCUCAGGAUAGUGUUUUUUCUUUUUCCCAAACACUGAGCAAUUUCUUUGUUAAAGCAUGUGAAAUAGUAUAGUAGAAUUGCAUCCAGCUUCUACAGGAUUUUUCUCUACCAGCUUAGUUAGCCCUUCAUUUUGAAAAUUUCCAACACAGCAUUGUCAACUUUCCUAAAAGUGAGGGUUUAUUUCUUAGACACGACCUACAAAAAUGCUGUCUGCUUUUGUGGAUCUGAGUGGAAUGAACAUUCACCAUAGACAACAAUCUUGUUCAAAUCCACGGAUCAUGUUUUCCAAUUUUCCUAUAGAGCUGGGGAGAUGGUCUUUGAAAUCAACACAGAUCUCAUGAGUAACAAAAUGCAUUUCCAGAGAGAAUAAGGGAAAACUUCUUGACUUCUUAGAAAUGCUCACCAGCAAAAAAUCCCAAACGCAUACAAAUAAAUAGUUUUCUCAGGUAGUGCCAAUUGCUUCAUGUCUCUUUAAGCCCAGUUGUAGAAUUCAGACUAUUUGUAAGGUGCUACAAAAAGUGCUGUGCUCUGCUGUUGUUCUGUGAUAAAUUUAACUCAGGAAUUUGGCAUCUUUUCUUUCAAACAUUAUUCCACUUACUUGAUUGUGCCCCUGCUCACAAAGUUGAAAUGUCUAUCUAUCUAAGCUACUUAAGUGGGAUCCUUGUUACCCCAUGGUAUUCUGGACACCAUAAACAUGCUGAGCUCACUGCUUGCUGGGCACAAUGUCCUGGUUCAGGUGAGAAGCUCAUGUAUUUUGUUUCAGCUCAAAGGAGUAAAUGUACUCUUGUUCCGCCGUUGAAUAUGUAAAAACAGAUGAAAAUGAAAUGUUGUGAUUCCUAAAACUGUGACAUGACGUUCAUUCCUAGAAAAAUGAUCAAAUAAACAAUUUUUUAACGUAGACCCAAACCAAUAAAUUUUUAUACUUCACAAUGCAUUCAUAAAAUGAAAAGACUA